rfam:Brassica napus, WGS project CCCW01000000 data, contig: 19315
AUGUUAUAAACAGGAGAGAUGGUUGGCAUCUCCUCUGAAAGAGACGGGAUUUACCUUCGGGUCCUGAACUUAUCUGGUUGCUUAAACUUACAAUUAUUCUUU